rnacentral:piRNA from 1 species
UGAGGAAGAAAAGCAAGAAAGAGAAAA